CCAAAGGCUCUUUUCAGAGCCCCCCACUCUGUCUAAACAGCGCUGU
rfam:Xenopus tropicalis strain Nigerian Chr03_contig_3081, whole genome shotgun sequence.